rnacentral:rRNA from 1 species
AUUGAACGCUGGCGGCAGGCCUAACACAUGCAAGUCGAGCGGGGUUUUCGGACCUAGCGGCGGACGGGUGAGUAAUGCGUAGGAAGCUACCCGAUAGAGGGGGAUACCAGUUGGAAACGACUGUUAAUACCGCAUAAUGUCUACGGACCAAAGUGUGGGAACUUCGGGCCACAUUCUAUCGGAUGCGCAGACGGGGGAUUAGCAAGUUGGUGAGGUACUGGCUCCCCAAGGCGACGAUCACUUGCUGGUUUGAGAGGAUGAACAGCCACCACUGGAACUUAGACACGUGCCAGACUGCUACGGGAGGCAGCAGUGGGGAAUAUUGGACAAUGGGGGCGAGCCUGAUCCAGGCAUGUCGCGUGUGUGAAGAAGGCCUUCGGGUUGUAAAGCACUUUCAGUAGGGAGGAAGCGUUGUGUGUUAAUAGUACACAGCAUUUUGACGUUACCUACAGAAGAAGCACCGGCUAACUCUGUGCCAGCCGCCGCCGUAAAAC